rnacentral:rRNA from 1 species
UGGGGAAUCUUGCGCAAUGGGCGAAAGCCUGACGCAGCCAUGCCGCGUGGAUGAUGAAGGUCUUAGGAUUGUAAAAUCCUUUCACCGGUGAAGAUAAUGACUGUAGCCGGAGAAGAAGCCCCGGCUAACUUCGUGCCAGCAGCCGCGGUAAUACGAAGGGGGCUAGCGUUGCUCGGAAUUACUGGGCGUAAAGGGAGCGUAGGCGGACAUUUAAGUCAGGGGUGAAAUCCCGAGGCUCAACCUCGGAACUGCCUUUGAUACUGGGUGUCUUGAGUGUGAGAGAGGUAUGUGGAACUCCGAGUGUAGAGGUGAAAUUUCGUAGAUAUUCGGAAGAACACCAGUGGCGAAGGCGACAUACUGGCUCAUUACUGACGCUGAGGCUCGAAAGCGUGGGGAGCAAACAGGAUUAGAUACCCUGGUAGUCCACGCCGUAAAGCGAUGAUUGCUAGUUGUCGGGGAAAUCUUGCUUUUUC